UUUCCCUGGGGCUGCAGUCCUUCACGAUGUACCUGCUCCAGCGUGGGUUCCUCCACGGGCUGCAGUGUGAACAUCUGCUCUGAGCUCAGGGAAAACCUGCAAUUCCAGCAGUUAUUCUAGCAAUAUUCCUGACUUCACAUUGGGCAAAGUUCUUCAGGCACCUUCCCAGCUUGAUGGCCAAAGCCAAAGUUAGAGAUGAUGAAGAGUUCUGGGUUUGCUGAUGGUGGUCUCUUCUCCCAGGCAUAAGGUGUCCUGUGAAGGCUACCAACAGGAAGGUACUAUAAGAAUUUCACACUGGCAUAAAAGAGAUACUCUCUUACAGUUUUAAUAUUCCUCUACUAGAAACUAGCAAACAUUUUAAAAGCAACUUUUGAAACCUCUGUCAAGAGUUGAUCAUUAAUAGAGGCGCUCCUGUGCACCAAUAUGUUGUUCCCUGCUCAAAGAACUAUACUGUAAUUAGCCACAGUCAACACAAUUUAGAGCUUCAAGUGUUGGUGAAAACAAAAAUAAUUCUUACCUACUUUAUGGUGAUUCACACUUUGCAUAAUGCUGGGCAAUUGCAAUGCCCCUUGAAGUUAAGAGCACACUUACUGUGCAUCUAAUCCUUCCGUACUUUUUGCAACAUUGGCAGUUGUUUACACACCAGCUGGGCUGUUAUGGUUACUCUCUGAAUCAUACACAGAGUCAGAGCAAAGGUCAUAACCAAGAAAACUCCUUGUCGAAUAAGUUUUACAGAACAACCUGCAUAGGUAUGUAGAGUAUGACUGAGAAUAGUAUCUGAGAGCAGAGGGUUUUGGUAAAGCAGUGACAACAGAAUAAAUGCUUCCUUAUCUAAUCACUAUGUACAUUUCUCUCAAAGAAAAAAAAAAAAGGUAACUGAAGUCUGACAAAAAGGCUGGACUAGAAUUUAAUUCAUAAGUAAGUCAAAUCUCUUCAAACGUUGAAUUUUAUGAAGUGUUGCAAAUUUAAUUUGACAUUUCCUAGUUGCAUAUCGGAUUAGUAUCCUACUUAUUACUACAUCCUAUGUAUAGUACUAUAUAUCUAUUAUAUAUAGCAUAUUUGUACAUACUUCAUACAUAUAUGCAAAAUAUUUCUCAGUGGUUGACUUUGGAAUUAGUGGCUCUGGGGAGUUUUUACCCUAUCUUUGUAAAGGAUUUCUUCCUUUUUCUGUGGAAUUGAGGUAGUCUUCUGUCUUAAGAGAUAUUAAUAUAAAUAUAAGAACCCAACCUAUAUUCUAUGAGAAACUUGAUUUAGGAAUUCAUGCAGACAAAACAAAACUAUCAAUCACAGAUGCAGUGUGCAGACACUGAUAAAUACCAGGACACUUAGGAAGAUGCUAUGAAAUCUCCAUUUCUAUGAUUGAAGGCUUUACUGUAGAGCUCAGCUGAAAGAUGACUAUACCAGCU